UUGUAUCCUAUUUGACACCUUUAAGGAUUAUUUUGUGUGUUGUAUUUUGUUUUUCAUAGACACCUGUCUAAUGAAGAGCUGUUACCUAUAAUUGGAAAAAUUCACCCAUCAGAGCAUUACUAUGCAAAACAACAGGCAGAAUAUAUCAUACAGCAGGCUGAUGCAGAUAAAGAUGGACGUCUCACCUUGGCAGAAAUGAUCGAUCAUCCUUACGUAUUUUACAGUGCCAUUUUCAACGAAGAUGAUGAGGACGAUUAAUGAUUUCCACGAUGAGUUUCGUUAAGUUUUUUCAUGUAUGGACACCUCCCUCUAUCUAACAAACUUCCGCGGACAAGAUCAGUCUUGAUGUUUGUUGCUGUUGCAGGAAUAGAUCGAAUAGUCAGAUAGGAUUAGCAGUAGAGAAAACGGAGUUCUUUCGCAGCAUGGAAUCGGGAUACAGAGUUUGAAGUCUUAGGCAACAACUUGGAGGAGAUCUCUCUGGCAUGGUGGGUCAGAACUGGGUUAAACUUCUUCAGCCAUGGCUCGCCCAUAUGGUGGUAUCCCUCUUUUUGUAGCAUAUGAAACCCCCAUCUUGUCUAAGAUAACAAUGGUUUCACACCUUAGAUUAUAGACAUUUAUUUGCAAAUAGUUUUGUUAAGUUCAAUGUCCUUGGUAUAGAAUUACCAUUUAAUUGUUAUUUGUUACUAA